rnacentral:lncRNA from 1 species
UUCUCGAAUGCUGGGAGUGCUUCAAAGUCUCCACCUCAUGAUGGGCAGGUCCGGGGGUUACGCCCGGGAACCAUAACUAGAAGUGGCUGUUUGGUGGUUAUAUGCAGGAAACUCUGUCAACCCAUUUUACAGUGGAUGUACAGUUGUGGCUUGAGAGUCUUAAAGCCAGAGGGGACUUCAUCGUCAUCGGCAAGGAGAUUACGCAGGAGUGCAUGUCCGAGUCUUCAGCCUUUGGGAAUAAAUUUCCCUGGGGCCCCUCCAGGGAAUGUACUGAAUCAGAUUCUGACAGCAGGGCCUGGGAAUCCUAAUCCAUCUCCAGUUCCAAGAGGAAGGAAGAACCUGCUAGAACAGAGGAAGCUGCCUGGAAGAUGAGAUCCCAUGGAGCCGGCCUGCUGGGAAGCAGAACAGUGAGCCCAAUAGGAUGGAGAUGACGCUGGAGGUUUCCCAUGGGCAGGAGUGCCAUAGAGCCCAGCACAAGCCUCUUUAUCAAAUAAGUGGACCCUUCCCAUAGCUUGGUGAUAGUUUGUCAUUCAUUGCUCUCUCUGUCCCCUUCUCUGGAGAAUUUCCUUCCACUUGUAAGAGCUGCCUCACCCAGGAAGUUAUGCUCAAAGGGGAAAGCCCACCUCCGAUGCUGAUGGAUGCAGAAGUACCAAUGCCUGAUCUCCUCAGGGGAUGACUCAGCAGGGCAAUUUAUGCUGCAGAGGCUCCCAAGGCCCCGGGCAAGGCUAGAACUUGUCUGGGACUGCAUCCAUGUUCAGCCCCUUCCCCUUUCCUGCUUUACUCCUCCUUUUAGAGAUCCUUCCAGAAAUAGACUCCCUCAAAUGAUAUGUGCUUGAAUACCACUCUCCGGGUCUGUUUAAAGGGAACCCAAUGUAAGUCACCAUCUGUGUCAGUUAGGUUGUGGUGUAUCAAAUCGCCCUGAAACUUAGCAGAUGAAAAAGGAUAGACAUUUAUUAUCUCACUUUUUUGGGGGGGGAGUCAGGACUUUGGACGCAGCUUAGAAUCUCAUAACAUUGCAUUCAAGACCUCGGCCAGGGCUGCAGUCCUCUAAGGGUGUGACUGAGGUUAGUUGAUCUGCUUCCAAAUUGGUUCACUCUUGUCUGGUAAGUUGGUGCUGGCUGUUGGCUAGAGACUGUGAUUCCCUGCCCUAGGGGCACCUUUCCCUUGGGUGGUUUGAGUCUCUUCAUGGAGUGGUAGUUGCAUCCCCCCAGAAGGAGUGACCUAACAGAGGACAGGAGAGAGGCUAUGACACUUUGUAUGACCUCACCUUGGAAGGUGUAUACUGUCACUUCUGCAAUGUCCUAUUGAUCACACAGAUCAGCCCUAUUCAUGGUUGGAGGGAACUACAGCAAGGCAUGAAUCUAGGAGCUGGGGAUGCUUCGGGGUAUCUUGGUGUCUUCCAUACUAUCCAAGGAAGACUCAGUUUGAAUUGUAAGAGUUCCUAUGAUUUUGAACUGUUUGCCCCUUAUUUUGGCUUUCUAUUAAUAUUUUUUCAAUAGUAAGUUUGGUGUUCUUUUCUUCUCUUUCCAAAUUAGACAUCUCAACUCCUAGCCUACGUUAAUCUGAAACUGUUGGUCUUUACCAGAAAAUAGCUUUCUCCCUCACUACUAAAAGAAGUAAUGGCAUGGACAAGGCACUGUCUUUUGAUGGUUCUGCAAAUUUAUCAUCACUGUAAAUGUCAUCUUAUCAUGGCUUGUGUGCUGGCUGAGAAUGAUGGUGCUAUCCAUAUUAAACAUGAAACCUUAUUCUCUCCUCAGGCUGUUAGGUCCAGGAACAUUCAGUGUAGGCAAUAUUAAGUGACUAAGGGAUAAGUCGUGCAGGAUUGAGAAGUGGGGAACUUGGGCCAGGAGUUGUAUUUCUGUCUUAGAUAUGUGUCCAAUGUACAGAUACAGAAUGCUGCUAAUUUAUUGCAAAAUAGAUAUAGUUCAUUUUCACAUUGCUUUAUCAUUUUCUUCAGGAAUCUAGGGAAAAGUUUGUAAGAAAAUCACAUUAAAAAUCUGGUGUGGAGGUGGAGAUAGGGUCUCUAGCAUUGCUGUUUGGCAUGAAUUAGGAAUUUUCAGCAUAUACGGUACAUGUGGGUUUGGUUUAUAUUGUGGGAGGCAAUCUUUGAUUUUCUCCUCCCACUUGGCUCUCACAGCCCUUGUCUCUUGUUUGAUGGGAAGAGUCACUGAGAAGAAGUAGAGUGUAGCGUUUUGGUGUUAGGUACGCCUAUGUUUAAUCUCUUCUCCAUUUUACCUACUUGCUGUGGGAUCUUGAGCACAUAAACUAACCUCUCAAAGCCUCUGUUUUCUCAUCUUUGAAAAGCUAAUACCUACCUCCCAGAGUGGUUUGAGGAUUAAAUGAGACUAUACUUGUGUCUGCACUGCCCAGCACAGUGCCCAGUCACGGGAGUCACUUGAUUAAGUGGAAGCUGCCACAUGGAUUAGUCAUCCUCUAUCUUAGCUCCGUCCAUCACUUCCUGUGGACCUGAUAAAGAUUGCUGCAUAUCAGGGUUGAGCAGGGCAUUUCCAGUCCCCAGGACAUUUUAACUUUCAACUUGGGCCCUCUGUGUUUCAGGGCCACUGGUGUCCUGGCACCAGCUCCUACUAGCUUUCAGGAAUUCAUUGUACUCUUUUCUCAGCUCUGAGCUCAAAGAUGCCAUGUUACUAACUUGAAAUCAGUCAUGCUGAGAAUAUUUACACCAUGGCAAGCAGCCAUAGGCAAAGUAUUUACACCAUGACCCUACCGAGCAGGUCUCCCAUUUAGAGCCAGUUAUGAAAAAUUUACCAGCACGUCUCUUCCCAGGAUGUUUCUUCAGGAAAGCAAACUGAAUUACUCGACUGUUUUGCUAUUUUUUUUUUUUUUCCUUCCAAAUUCCUCUUUAACCAUUGCUUUUCUUUUAUUUUCCAUUAUGAACCACUUCAAAAGCUCAUUAUUUCCCCCACCCCCAGCUUGCCAUUCUCUUCCUGUCUAUUUCUUUCCUUCAUCAUGGUACCAGAGAAAUAUCCCAAAAGCAUUAAUUUCAAUCAUACCUACUGAUUCCUGCUCAGAAUUUUUCCAUAGCAUUGUACUUGUGUUGAUGGCAUGUCUUUGAUUUCUCACUAGAAGUGGGAUUUUAAAUACCCUUGCUCUCCUCUCCCUGCUUGAGAGACCCAAUGUGUUUAUUAUAUGGGAAUUUACAUGGAAGAAACAUGGUUUUUCUUUUGUUUGUUUGUUUGUUUUUUGGAGACAGAAUCUCGCUCUGUCACCCAGGCUGGAGUACAGUGGUGCAAUCUCGGUUCACUGCAGCCUCCACCUCCUGGGUUCAAGCAAUUCUCCUGCCUCAGCCUCCCAAGUAGCUGGGAUUUCAGGCGUGUGCUACCAUGCCCGACUAAUUUUUUUUUCUAUUUUUAGUAGAAAUGGGGUUUCCCCACUUCGGCCAGGCUGGUCUCAAACUCCUGACCUCAGGUAAUCUGCCCACCUCAGUCACCAAACUGCUAGGAUUACAGGCAUGAACCACCACACCUGGCCAGAAACAUCAUGGGUUUUAACCACGGAAGAAAUGAGUUGGAAUCAUAGCUCUGCCUCUAUAUAGCUAGCUGUUGGAUCUUGAGUUGUUUACUUUCCAUUGAGUUGCUGUGGGAUGUUAAUACAUGCACAGUUCUAGAAAUAGUGACUGGCAAACAGUAAGUGCUCAAUAAAUGCCAGGUCUUGCUAUUGCUGUCCUUCCUUACUAAUGCACAGCUUCCUCUUCAGCCUGUCCAAGUUCUUCUUUGUUCCGUUAAAGUGUCAUGCUCAAUAGGAUCUGAUGCUGUUUCCCAAAUUCGGGGUGUCUUCCUCUCCCCUCCCCUCUGCAAAUUCAACCCACCACUUAUGAUCAGAGUCUAGCCUUACCUCACCGCAAAAGUCCUGCUUAACUUUCUCAGGCCUUCUUUCCAUCUUCCUAUCUGAGAAAGAAAUAGAAACUCCAAGGUAGUCAAAUGAAUGUGGCAUGUUCCUUGUGGACCAACCCUGUAUGGCUAGAGGGAUAUCAUAGCUCCUGUCUUCCUGAAAAAUAAAAAUUUGUAUUGAAAGAAGCUGAGUUCAUCAUAACACAGCACAUAAAGUGCUGGGUUGGGGAAGAGCAAGGGCUAAAGGGGCACAGAGGAGGGGCGUCUAGCCCACAGUUGUGUUUCAGAGAAAGGAAUGACAUAUACAUUGAGAGAACCAAGAAGUAUGGAUGUCAUCCAAAUGGAAAUAGGAAGAGGUGUGGUAGGAAUAGGAUUGUUCCAGAAAGAAAGAGUGCAAGUAGGAAGGCCAAUGCUUAGAGCUAUCAUCAUGAUAUAGAGAAACUAAAGAGUUCUCCAGGAGCUGGAAUGGAGUCUUGAGGCUGAGAAGAUGGAAGAGUGUGUGGGGAGUCUGGGUUAUCCCAGGCUUUAGCUGCUACAUUAAGAAGUUGAGUUGUUUUGUUUUGUUUGCUUUUAAGAUGGUGUCUUGCUCUGUUACCCAGGCUAGUCUUGAACUCCUGGACUCAAGCUAUCCUCCUGCCUCCUCCCAUGUAGCUGGAAUUGCAGACACUUGCCACUGAACCUGGCUAAAAGUUGAAGUGUUAUCCUAAGAACCAUAGGUGUUAAAGAGAAGCAUGAUUUGAUUAGAUUUCCAUACUUACAGAUUACUCUUUUGCUAAGUUUGCUUCUAUGUUACCCACAGUUACCUCCCUGAAUAAAAUGUCACUUUUCUGAGCCUCAAUCUCUUCCUCUCUAAAACAGGGUAAUAAGUUCAUAAUUUUGCUGAGAAUGCUAUAUGAGAUAAUACAUGGAAAAGCAUAUUAUAAACCCUUAAAACUGUCUACACAUUAGAGGGAUCAUUAUUAAUUUUGGAUGCAGGGUGUGGACUCAUGUAUCCUGGUAUCCUGGAAAAGUUGAGUUCACAUCCUAGUAUUCCCACUCCUUGGGAAAGUUGCUUAAUUUUUAAUUGCUGACAUCAUCAUUUCCACUUCACAGAUGAGGAUUACAUCUAAUGCAUAAGCCUCUGAUGAAGAGAUGUUUAUAGUGUGUGAUUUGGGGGCACUAGUGUUUAAUGAAUGUUAAGUUCUACAUACACACACAUAUGUGCAUGCACACAUACAUAUCACCCAUCUGCUCUAAUCUUUCUGUACAUAAAGGCAAAACACAUAUCUCCAUCUUAAAAAGUAAAAACAAAGAAUGACUUGCAUAGAGCACAUUAGAGUAAAUUUUGUGAUCAUAUUGAAAUAGAUGGUGGAAUAGUGAUUGUCUCUCCCACUGUGUUUAACAUUGAACCCAAGUAAGUCAAAGCUCCUGUCCUUGAUUUCCCUCACCUCCAACAGAGACACACACACACACACACACACACAUGCACACACACUCGAUAUAAAUCCCGACGUGCUGGUCUUUGGAGUGAUGGCUCGCAAACAUAAAGUUUUACUCUCCUUAAUGUACACACCUCUUCUGAAAGCAAACGGGUUCAGCAUACCCUGUAUCCC